ACAAUGCUAAAACUCAGUCGGUUCUAGCGGGGAGCACCCGCUAGAGGUAACGGGGAAAGUUCGGUGCAAAUCCAACGCUGUCCCGCAACUGUAAAGGAGAAAUCACCCAAAUCUCCAAGCCAGAAUGCCCACCACUGUUUUAAUUAUUCU
rfam:[Oscillatoria] sp. PCC 6506, WGS project CACA01000000 data, contig: Contig86